rnacentral:rRNA from 1 species
AAGACACCUGACUAAGGUAAUAAUACUAUAACCAAUAUAUAAUGGCAGUCCCUGUAAACUAAAGAAGCUCGCUUUAUAAUCGUAAAUACCCGUUAAUCUUCACUUUAUUUACAAAAUCUAUAUACCGCCGUAAAGAAUUAACACAUUAAAUAACCCAAACUCUCCUUUCCCAACUAAAAUCAGGUCAAGGUGUAAUAAAUAAUAAAGAAAAAGUAAGCUACACAUAAAAGUAAUUUAAGAAAAUAAUACACAAGUAAAAUAGAAAAAGAAUUUAUUCGUAAAUAAUAAUUAAAAUUUAAUAUAGACUAAAACAUCAGUGGUGU